AUAUAGUUUUAAAGGGGGAAAAAUUGACACCAGUUUAGCUGUUCUGAAAUCAUAGAAAUCACUCUUUAUAAAACACUUAGAACACGCGGCUUACUGAAUACAAGAAUAUUUGCAUGCUUUCCAUUACAUAAGGAAAGUCCUGUGAACACAGACGGGGGCCUUUUCACAAUACAAAAGUAAAGCACUCUUGUUCUACUUUAACUGCUAUGGCAAGAUCCUAUGGAAUCCUGGGAUCUAUAGUUUAGGGAGAUGUAUUUAGUAUUCUCAGCUGGAGAGCUGUAGUGCCUCAUCUUUUUUACAAACCAGAAGAUCGUACAGUAUAGGAUUGUACCAAGUCAGUUAAAAUGGACUACAGCACUAUAACUGUGUAAUGUGCAGGGGUCCCAUAGGACAAACUGGAACUCCUCUGAAGCUGUUAAUUGUGCUGAAACCUUCUUUCUUCUAAUUUUGCUUAUUCAUAACCAGGGAAACAUUAGCUUCCUUCCAAGGCUGGAAAGUCUAACCCCAGAAAGGGACAAAAUGAGCCUGUGGAGGAGAAACAGAGCCAGAAAAAGGUCCCACUAUUAUUUCUGCAAAGACAGAGAAAAACUUGGGAUGGAUCCGAGCCUCUGGGAUUGCAGUGGCCCAUCAGCCUUAGGAUUCUUCCCUGAGUUUAUUUCAUACAUAGGCAGAUAAUAUCAACAAAGAGAAUUUUGGAAUACAGUAAAUGGAGACUAAGUGGACCUUGGGAGGACACCACUGGAUGAAACUCUCUAAGCCAUAGGCUGCGAUCAUGGAGACCAUGACGAUUGAACACCGGGACAUGUGUGGCCAAGCAACUUCAGAGUGUGGUCCACUGAUGGCAAAACUUAUUAAUGUUGGAGAACGCAUAAGCUAGAAGAGGCUGCAGCGGUUGGUCUUUGCCUGAGCCCACAAGGAAAGGCAAGACUCCAUCUCCUCCUAUACUCACCCUCUUGCAAAGUUAACUGCAAAAUAAUUUUGCAUUUUGAAAGUUUGCCGCAGUGGAAGUAGGCCGGUGACCAAGGGGGGAAGUGGGAGGAGGAGAGAGAAACUGGAAUAUUCUAAAAGUGGCUUAAAAAGUGGUACAACAAAAUAUUCAUAGAGAUUGUCCCUGCCAUAUCAAGAUAGUUGAAGGACUUGUCUGUAACUUCCAAUGUCCUUUGUGGCUCAAUAUGUGUAGGACUCAAAACAUGCCUUAGAUUGGGUCUUAUUCACAGUGCUCACAGUGCACAAAGGCAAAAGUACACAGAUAUAAAGUAGUUUUGUGUGCUCCAAACACUUAUUUUUCUUUCAACCCUGGAAUUACAUUAAGAAAGAUUCCCUGAACCAUUUUGGUGUUUUCAGAAUUUCUUAUGGAAAACCAUGGCAACCAUUCCAGCAACUAUAAACAUAACAUUUGUGUAACUGUAGAUGCUCCCUUUGUAAGAAUGCUCACAAUUAGACAAACAUUUUGCAGUAUUUUUUGUUAGUCAAAAGGGGUCGGGGGGGGGGGGAAUACAGCUGCAUAAAUAAAUUGCCAUUGCUACACCUACUUAUCUGUCAACGCAAAUGUUAUUUGAGGUUGCAUGCAGAAUUUAUCUCUCUCCAUUUUCUUGAAGGGAUAAAUUGUCUUAAGAGGUAUCUGAUUUCUACUUCUGGAUUUUGGUAACAGCCUGGUGACAGGAAGGCUGAAGCAAUGCCCCCCCCCAAAAAAAAUUCUGAGAUUCAACUUUAAGUCAGGGAACAUCUGGGAAAUUGUAUGUUCCCACCAUCAUCACCACUCACCUGAAACAACUUUAAUAAGAGUUUGGAAACCAGAAAUGAAGUUGUAAACCCUGAAAGAUCUUUCCAUCUCUCUGCCUUUAUGUUGAAUCCUUUAAGAAAGUUCCUGCCUGCCUUCCUCACACUUUUCUCUCUGUGACUUUAUUCUAGUUAUCUCUUGUUCUCCUCCACUUUUCCCCUCCUAAACCUGCUUUUAAAAGAGAGGACAAAACUUUGGUGUUUUCUUCCUCCAGUUCUAUGUCACAAAUUCUGCAUCCUUUAGGCUAAAGCCAGAGAAGGAAAUCCUUUUUUUGUAGGUUUUUUCUUUUUUAGAAAAAUGUGCACGGGCAAAUUAGAUGAACGGCUUUUGAGGAUGUAAUUCAACAACUUUCCCACUAGAUCUCAUUUGAAUAAAAAUGAAAACCAAAAUCAGUCAUUCUUAGGCUGCAUCAGCACUGUGGAAUUAAUGUAGUUUGACACCACUUUAU